UGAGGCUCAUGGGUGUGAGAUUAGGGAACUACUGUCUAAAUGGAGUGACUUCUAAGCUUACUUGGGCUUCAUCUGAAAUGCAGAUAUGAGAAGAGACAGAAAGGAUGCCACACAGAGUUAACAACAGAAACAAGGUGAGAAUGUGAAUCCGAGAAGUAAUUGAGAUUCCAUGCCCAGACUGUGAAACUUAGGAGUGUUCAGAACACUGGAACAGACUGCCGCUGAGAAAUCAGGCAAUCUCCUGGAAGAGGGGGCAGAAAGAUUGUAAGAGUCAGAGGGAAUGGAAGAUACCAGAACAAGGCUCUCUGAAUCAACUCAGCAAGCCACGUAUGAGCGCACAGAGACACAAGCAGCAAGCCCCCGGGUCUAUAUAUGGGUGAGUGCUGGGUCCUCUGCACAUAUAUUAUAGCUCUUAGCUUAGUAAUUCUAUAGGACUCUUCACUGUGAGAAUGAGUGGAUCUCUAUUUACCUGUUCUUGGGACUCUUUUCCUUCUGAUGUGUUGCCGUGUCCAACUUCAAUAUGCUAG